GCCUAUGGCCCUACCAUCCUGAAUGUACCCAAUCUCGUCUGAUCUCAGAAGCUAAGUGGGGUUGGCCCUGGUUAGUACUUGGAUUGGACACCCAGCUUCAGAUU
rnacentral:rRNA from 1 species